UGUUAUGCCAAGUCAUCAAGCCCUUUCUCUCUAGGCCAGCAGCAUUUUUCCCCCAGAGGCACUGCCACGCUGAAACUAUAAACUUAUAAAAUCAAGAAAAGAAGGGAACGAAUUCGCGUUUUUUCGCUUCUCCCGAUUCAAUCAACUGGUCCAGUUUCUCGAUGCUGUAUGUUGGCUCUUUGACGAAUGGCUGAUACAUGCUAUAAGGUUGUUGUCGAGCAAUUCGGCCCAAAAAGCUACAAUGGACACAACAGUAACUUCCGGAGUACGCCGGACAACGACAUUUUCCCGAAAAUGUUGUGGCUCUACCCAACUCGAUCUUUUCAUCUAGCAACAGGUUGUGGCUUCAGUUCAGACCAUCCCUAUUGCCACAGAGAGGUUACGAUCUUACCUUUACCUCCACUCAACAAGGUUCUGGAUGCGGAGGAGCUGUGUUUAACACCCGAGGUUCUGUAACGAGCCCCGGUUUCCCUGGCAACGUUUCUCGUGCUACCGACUGCCGAUGGGAGUUAUCUGUUCCAAUUGGAAUGAUUAUCAAAAUCGAUUUUCCCAUGUUCCAAUUCGGACCAUCUGAUGACUGCAUGAAUAAUUACGUGGAAAUAUCAGAUAUUCGUGCAAGUCCAGACGGGACAUUAGGAGAGGCUUGGAGAGCGCGCUACUGUGGAAACGAUCGGCCAUCGACUUAUGUGGGCUCUAGCAAUGGAGCUACUAUUCGUUACGUCACCUCAACGAAUAACACCGGAUCAGGAUGGAGAGCUGUCUUCCAGGGCGUCACCAGUAUCCAUGGAAACCAAUAACAAUUGCAACUCUCCCACAUCAUUGAUAACGCAACCAUACAAAGUUUCCCCUUUUUUUUUUGUUUUUUUUUACUUAAUCCAUUUUUAAAAAUUUUAAAUGCAAAACACGUGGGGGACUCUUUGUUUCCUCUCUUUUUCGUUUUUUUUUUAAAGAUUAUUAAUCACAAUAGGUAUGGGUUUGUUUGUUAUGUAUCCAUAACUUGUUAUUCCAUUUUCAAUACGAGACAAUAUUGACAAUUGA